UACGUAGGCAGCAAGCGUUGUUCGGAGUUACUGGGCGUAAAGAGUGCGUAGGCGGUUUCCUAAGUUUGGUGUGAAAUCUCCCGGCUUAACUGGGAGGGUGCGCCGAAGACUGGGGAGCUAGAGGAUGGGAAAGGCAAGCGGAAUUCCUGGUGUAGCGGUGAAAUGCGUAGAUAUCAGGAGGAACACCGGUGGUGUAGACGGCUUUCUGGACCGUAACUGACGCUGAGACACGAAAGCGUGGGUAGCAAACAGG
rnacentral:rRNA from 1 species